rnacentral:misc_RNA from 1 species
ACUGUUGCGAGCGCCUGCAAU